UCCACACCUUACCCCUUUUAAAAUUCAAAAUUCAAAAAUUCAAAUUUUAAACAAUUUUCCCUCUUUUGGCCAUAAUUUGGCUUAUAAAAGAGGAGGAAGAGGAGGAGAGAAGGGGGGUUUUUUGGUUUUUUUUUGGUUGGGAGAAAAGAAGAAAGAAGAGAGAAAGAAAGGGAUUGGUUGGGAGAAAAUUUGGGAGAAGUAGGAGAGAAGAGAAGAGGAGGAGGGGGGUCUUCUUUUUUUUUUGAAAAAUUUCAUCCUUUUCUCAGAAAAUUUUGUGCAAAAAAUAUUGAUAGCAUAAAGCACACACAUAUAGGAUAUACGUAGAUGUCUGAGUUUAACGUCAAGCUUGGGUGUUCGCUGCCCCCCCCUCCCCCCCCAUGCUCGUUUCGUCUCCAGCUCGCUGCCCCGAAGAAGGUGAAAUCCUUUUUUUUCUUUCUUCUUUUUAGAUGUUGUCAUUCAACCUUGCUAAUUUUUUUUUGUUUUGUUUUCUUGUGUGGCAUCGAUUCGAGUCCACUUUGGAUUUCAUUUUUGCAUUCCUCGCUGAGCCAUAAAGGCUCAAAACACCCUCCUCGAGCCGUAGAUUCCUCAAAACUGGUGUACAGGUUGCGAAACCAGCAGCUUCGGUGCUGAAAAAUCAAAUUUGCAGAAAGCUGUAUAUCAGCUAUAUACACAGUGUAUACACUGAUAUACAGGUACAAAUACGCAGAGCAAUGCGGAAAUACAGGGAAAAAUAACGGAAAAUAUGUAUUCGAAUAGGUGCAGGGCUCAAGAGGUCCUAAAUGGGUCAAAUAUAUACUGUAUACAGUAUGUAUACCUUUGUGUAUACCCUUCAUGAUCCUUUUUUUCAGGAAUGGGCCAGGGCCCUUCAGCAAUUUUUUAACAGGCCCAAGGGGCCAAAAUGUUUUUGCAGGAUUUUUAAUUUGUUGAAAGGGCCCAAGUCCAUAUUUGGAAUUAGUCUAGGACAGGUGGGCUAAAGCCCAAUGGAAUGAAUUUGGGCAAUAAGGCCUAAUUUCAAAUUUUUUCUCCUCUUUAUUUAUUAUUUGCUUGAAUUGAUUAAUGUGUGGUAGAAUUUUAAUAACCUCCUAAAGUGUAGCCAAUCUUCACAUUUUAAAAUUUACCACUUUAUUUGCUUA